UACGUAGGUGGCUAUUCAAGUUAGUUGUGAAAUCCCGGGGCUUAACUCCGGUGCUACAAUUAAGACUGUUUAGCUUGAGUGCAGGAGGGGUAAGUGGAAUUCCUAGUGUAGCGGUGGAAUGCGUUGAUAUUAGGAGGAACACCAGUGGCGAAGGCGACUUACUGGACUGUAACUGACACUGAAGUACGAAAGCGUGGGGAGCAAACA
rnacentral:rRNA from 1 species